CAAAUUAUUGCUGUACAGAAGAUCUUUAUUUUUUCUGUUUCAUUAACAGAUUAUUAUAAAGCAAUAAGCAUGCAGGAGGAGAAGCAGACCUUUUACCUUGGGAAUUAAUGAAAGCAUUUCUGAUCAUUUUUUUGGAGGUGGGGAAUUGUUUAAAAUCUUAUACCACCCCCACAAAUUCUUCUGAAAUGGUAAAAUAAGGAAAUGCAUGAUUCCAGAGACACGCUUAACUACCAGGUGUCAGGCUAUGUGCUGUCUUGUGAUAUCAUCGGACCUUUUGAACGGGUGGAGGGAAAAGUUCAGAAGCAGCUACAGGGGACAAAAGCCCAUUUUUACUAGUUCAACAGGACAGGACAUUCAAUAAACCCAGCCCGCUCUGGAAACGGGUCGGGGCUCCAGUUGGCUCCACAGAGGCAGAAGUAGCCACUGCCGCCUCCCUCGCCCCCGCAUUCCGCCGCGGCCCCUGCGUUACUGGGGGAGACGGUGCCGCUGCGACAGGGGAGGACGCGGCUGGAGCUCAAGGAGGCUCCAUCGCGCAGGCGCCGCCGAGCCCUGCCUGGAUGCUCAGUCAAGGCACUAAGGCAAAAAAAAAAUCAGCAAUUUAUAGAAAGAAGAAGCUAUAGUCUGUCGGGAUAUCCAACACCAACAGUAGGGCUUAUUGAGAGCUCCAUUUCUGGAAAGCGUUGCAAGACUGAGGAAUAUCGGACUGCGAAUCACCGGGAACAGUUCCCUUGCAGCACAGAAGCAAUCUCUCUCCCCAUCUUCGCAUAUUCUGAUGGCAAAUCAAGUGAAAGAAAAGAGGAAGCAUGACUGCAGAUCAGAUCCGUUCUCUUUGUGGAUUACAUUUUCAGUAAAAUGGAGCUGAGGCGCUGUUUCAGCACAACCCUUCUUUACUGCAGAAAAUCCAGGUUACCAAGGGAACCUUACUGUGUUAUAUGAAGGAGCAUCUGUAAAUCUUUAGCCUUGUGAAACACUAACCUUCUCUGCUAAGCAAUUGUGGCCUGUAGCCAUUUCUUGAGAAGAAAAUCAAGAAUGGGAUCAGCAGUUAUAAGGAUUUGGGCAACAUUCUGCAGUCUUUGCAAUAGUUCACCUAUAAUCCUAUUUUAAAUCUCAGAGUGAUCCUGCUGACUGCCAGCGAAGGUUUGUAAUUAAGAAAGGACUGAACCACUGCCCUGAGUUUCUUUAUGUGGUUGAAAACUAGAUAAUGAAAGUAGCAGGUGCUAAGUAUCAGUGCUAAAUGCUGUGUAUAUGACUACUUAUGAAAAAACAUCAAAAAAAAACCAAUUAGCAUUGGACAUCUUAAUAAAUUAAGUUGACAUGAGGUAAAUGUGUUGAUA
rnacentral:lncRNA from 1 species